GCGUCCAUAGCUCAGUUGGUUAGAGCACCACCUUGACAUGGUGGGGGUCGGUGGUUCGAGUCCACUUGGGCGCACCA
rnacentral:tRNA from 1 species